GUCUCACUCUAGUCUUAUCUAUUGUGGUUUUUUCUUAACUUUCCCGGGGAAAUAGGUCAGAAAUUUACAUAUACCUGAUCAGGUCUGCAGCCCAGUUGGUGAUGACUAAAAAUAAGUUGCAGAGAAUUGCCUACAACUGAAACCACACAGAAACCAUUCUUCCCUCCGUCAUGGUGUAAGUGUAAAAGAAUUCCGUCCGUGAUUCGGAAAGAGGGCAAGGAAACUCUGAGGUUUAGUACGGAGAGGAGACGAGCACGGCUGAACAACAUCAGCAGGGCUGAUCUAACAGAGGCUAAAACCAAAACAGCUCGUGUUUGCAGUCAUCAUUUUAUUUCAGGAGCAAGGAUCCCUAUUUUACACAAAGGAUCAGUGUGUACUUUUAGACAGAAGAAUGGAAGGAAACCAGAGAACUCAGAGGAAACCCACACAAGCAGGUGGAGAAACGGCAACCCUCUGUACAGACGCUAACCCUCAGAGUCGAACCGGAGACCUUGUACCAUGCACUUUAAAUAAUAUGAUUGUAAAAUAUCUUUAACUAGUGCAUUUCAUGCUUUGAAAAAUGCAUGGUGCUUGCGGUGUAUGUAUGUAUAUUGGUGACAAAUUAAUAAAAGAAGAAA